GUGCCCUCCUUAAUGCCCAUCACCCAUUUAACCCAUCCCUCCACCCACCUCCCCUCCAGCAACCCUCAGUUUGUUCUUUGUAUUUAAGAGUCUCUUAUGGUUUGUGAGAGUGGGACUUUCCAAAGCUCUUCUCUGGAAUCUAAAAAAACAAGAACACAAGACACCAAAUGAAUACACAAACAAAAAGCAGAAUUAGGUCUGUAGAUACAGAAAACAAACUGAUGGUUGCCAGAGGGGCGGGAGGGGAGGACGGGCACAAUGGGUGAAGGGGAGUGGGAGAUACAGGCUUCCAGUUUUAGAACGAAUAAGUCUCGAGAGUCAAAGGCACAGCAUAGGCAACACAGUCAAUGGUACUCUAAAAUAGCAGAGCAUGGUGAUAGAUGGUAGCCACGCUUGUGGUGAGCAGAGCAUAACGAACAAACCCGUGGAAUCACUGUGUUGCACACCCCAGACUAAGGUAACACGUGUGCCAACUAUACUCAAAUAAAAAAAAAAAAAAGAAAAAAGAAAAAAGAGCUCUUACCUAAAUGCUUUUGUUUGCCCAGCAAAAUCGAGUGAGGUCAUCAGCCAAGGUGAGGUUCACGUGUGUGUUGGAGUGGUGGAAGGAGAGAAGAGCAGGUGUGAAGUAGUUGGUUGAGACAGAGCCAGAUUUCUGGGCCGUGUUGGGGUGAACGAUCACGAAUCUAAAAUAAAGUAAUUCUGCUUACUUUGAAUUUUCUGUAUGAAUAGGCUACUACUAUUUGGCGCCUUGGCUGCAGGUUGAUGUUUGGGUUCAUUCAGGACUGAAGUUUUGAUGGACUACAAGUCAAUUUGAUGAAUGAAUGGAUUAUUGACCCAUUUUAUCAUCAAGACUUUUGCAAGUUGACAUCAAAAAAAUGUCGCCCUUUUCCAAUGACAUGUCAAUUCAUUAGCCUGCUUUUAAAUGAAAUAAAUUACAUCAGGUAAGACCA